GACCUCUCUGUUGGCCUAGUGGUUAGAGCGUCCGCUUUGGAUGCGGGAGGUCCUGGGUUCUAUUCCCGGUAGAGUCA